CAGUAGUGUAUAUCAAGUUUGCUGCGGCUCAAAAGCUCGUAGUUGGAUUUCUGCCGAGGACGACCGGUCCGCCCCUGGAUGAGUAUAGGGCUCAGGCCGCUCGGCCUGGGCAUAUUAUUCGAGAACGUAUCUGCACUUGAUCGUGUGGUGCGGUAUCCAGGACUUUUACUUCCGAGGUCAUUAGAGUGCUUCAAGCAGGCACACGUCUUGAAUACAGUAGCAUGGAAUAGUACGAUAGGACCUCGGUUAUAUGUUGUUGGUUUCUGGAGCAGAGGUAAUGAUUAAUAGGAAUAGUUAGGGGCAUUUGUAUUUAAUUGUCAGAGGUGGAAUGGUUGGAUAUGUUGAAGACGGACUACUGCUAAAGUAUUUGCCAAGGAUGUUUUCAUUGGUCAUGAAAUAAAGUUAGGGGAUCGAAGAUGAUUAGAUACCG
rnacentral:rRNA from 1 species